CAAGCGGUGGAGCAUGUGGUUCAAUUCGACGCAACGCGAAGAACCUUACCUGGGCUCGAACGGCUUAGGACAAAGGGUGGAAACAUCCUUUUCCCGCAAGGGACCUGAGUCGAGGUGCUGCAUGGCUGUCGUCAGCUCGUGUCGCGAGAUGUUGGGUUAAGUCCCGCAACGAGCGCAACCCUUGUCCUGUGUUGCCAUCAUUUAGUUGGGAACUCUCAGGAGACCGCCAGCGAUAAGUUGGAGGAAGGUGGGGAUGAUGUCAAGUCAUCAUGGCCUUUAUGUCCAGGGCUACACACGUGCUACAAUGGGCGGUACAAAGCGCUGCAAACCCGCGAGGGGGAGCUAAUCGCAAAAAACCGUCAUCAGUUCGGAUCGCAGGCUGCAACUCGCCUGCGUGAAGCUGGAAUCGCUAGUAAUGGCGUAUCAGAAUGACGCCGUGAAUACGUUCCCGGGCCUUGUACACACC
rnacentral:rRNA from 1 species